rnacentral:rRNA from 1 species
GAUGAACGCUAGCUACAGGCUUAACACAUGCAAGUCGAGGGACCGGUGUACGGGUGAGUUACGCGUAUCCAACCUUCCCAUUACUGUGGGAUAACCUGCCGAAAGGCAGACUCAUACCCAAUAGUAAUGGCUGGGGAGGCGUCUGAUUAGCUUGUUGGCGGGGUAACGGCCCACCAAGGCGACGAUCAGUAGGGGUUGUGAGAGGAAGGUCCCUCACAUUGGAAUUGGGACACGGUCCAAACGCCUACGGGAGGAAGCAGUGAGGAAGAUUGGUGAAUGGACGGAAGUCGGAACUAGCCAAGGAGCUGGCAGGAUGUCGGCCUAUGGGUUGUAAACUGCUUUUGUAUGGAGAUAGGUACCAUAUGAAUAAGCACCGGCUAAUUCCGUGCCAGCAGCCGCGGUAAUAC